UACGAAGGGGGCUAGCGUUGCUCGGAAUUACUGGGCGUAAAGGGCGCGUAGGCGGACAUUUAAGUUAGAGGUGAAAGCCCAGGGCUCAACCCUGGAAUAGCCUUUAAUACUGGAUGUCUUGAGUUCGGGAGAGGUGAGUGGAAUGCCGAGUGUAGAGGUGAAAUUCGUAGAUAUUCGGCGGAACACCGGUGGCGAAGGCGGGUCUCUGGGCAUUUCCUGACGCUGAGGCGCGAAAGCGUGGGGAGCAAACGGG
rnacentral:rRNA from 1 species